rnacentral:rRNA from 1 species
ACCCCGCUGAACUUAAGCAUAUCAAUAAGCGGAGGAAAAGAAACUAACAAGGAUUCCCCUUAGUAACUGCGAGUGAAGCGGGAAAAGCUCAAAUUUAAAAUCUGGCAGUCUUUGGCUGUCCGAGUUGUAAUCUAGAGAAGUAUUAUCCGCGCUGGACCGUGUACAAGUCUCCUGGAAUGGGGCGUCAUAGAGGGUGAGAAUCCCGUCUUUGACACGGACUGCCAGGGCUUUGUGAUGUGCUCUCAAAGAGUCGAGUUGUUUGGGAAUGCAGCUCAAAAUGGGUGGUAAAUUCCAUCUAAAGCUAAAUAUUGGCGAGAGACCGAUAGCGAACAAGUACCGUGAGGGAAAGAUGAAAAGAACUUUGGAAAGAGAGUUAAACAGUACGUGAAAUUGCUGAAAGGGAAACGCUUGAAGUCAGUCGCGUUGGCUAGGGAUCAACCUUGCUUUUUUGCUUGGCUUACUUUCUGGUCGAUGGGUCAGCAUCAAUUUUGACUGAUGGAAAAAGUUCAAGGGAAUGUGGCAUCUUCGGAUGUGUUAUAGCCUUUGUUCGCAUACAUUGGUUGGGAUUGAGGAACUCAGCACGCCGCAAGGCCGGGUUUUUUUAACCACGUACGUGCUUAGGAUGCUGGCAUAAUGGCUUUAAUCGACCCGUCUUGAAACACGGACCAAGGAGUCUAACAUGCCUGCGAGUGUUUGGGUGAAAAACCCGAGCGCGUAAUGAAAGUGAAAGUUGAGAUCCCUGUCGUGGGGAGCAUUGACGCCCGGAUCUGACCUUUUGUGACGAUUCUGCGGUAGAGCAUGUAUGUUGGGACCCGAAAGAUGGUGAACUAUGCCUGAAUAGGGUGAAGCCAGAGGAAACUCUGGUGGAGGCUCGUAGCGAUUCUGACGUGCAAAUCGAUCGUCAAAUUUGGGUAUAGGGGCGAAAGACUAAUCGAACCAUCUAGUAGCUGUGCUGCGA